AACGAACGCUGGCGGCAGGCUUAACACAUGCAAGUCGAGCGCCCCGCAAAGGGAGCGGCAGACGGGUGAGUAACACGUGGGGAUCUGCCCAAUGGUACGGAAUAGCUCCGGGAAACUGGAAAUAAUACCGUAUGUGCCCGCAAGGGGAAAGAUUUAUCGCCAUUGGAUGAACCCGCGUCGGAUUAGCUAGUUGGUGUGGUAAAGGCGCACCAAGGCGACGAUCCGUAGCUGGUCUGAGAGGAUGAUCAGCCACACUGGGACUGAGACACGGCCCAGACUCCUACGGGAGGCAGCAGUGGGGAAUAUUGGACAAUGGGCGCAAGCCUGAUCCAGCCAUGCCGCGUGAGUGAUGAAGGCCUUAGGGUUGUAAAGCUCUUUCGCCGACGAAGAUAAUGACGGUAGUCGGAGAAGAAGCCCCGGCUAACUUCGUGCCAGCCGCCGCGGUAAGAC
rnacentral:rRNA from 1 species